AUUGAACGCUGGCGGCAGGCCUAACACAUGCAAGUCGAGCGGAUGAAGGGAGCUUGCUCCUGGAUUCAGCGGCGGACGGGUGAGUAAUGCCUAGGAAUCUGCCUGGUAGUGGGGGAUAACGUCCGGAAACGGGCGCUAAUACCGCAUACGUCCUGAGGGAGAAAGUGGGGGAUCUUCGGACCUCACGCUAUCAGAUGAGCCUAGGUCGGAUUAGAUAGUUGGUAGGGUAAAGGCCUACCAAGGCGACGAUCCGUAACUGGUCUGAGAGGAUGAUCAGUCACACUGGAACUGAGACACGGUCCAGACUCCUACGGGAGGCAGCAGUGGGGAAUACUGGACGAAGGGCGAAAGCCUGAUCCAGCCAUGCCGCGUGUGUGAAGAAGGUCUUCGGAUUGUAAAGCACUUUAAGUUGGGAGGAAGGGCAGUAAGUUAAUACCUUGCUGUUUUGACGUUACCAACAGAAUAAGCACCGGCUAACUUCGUG
rnacentral:rRNA from 1 species